AUUGGUGACUAAUUCGUGGAUUGUUCGUUUUCAGAUGGCAGCUGUGACAGAAACUCUUUUUGUUAUAGAAAGAAACUACAAGAUCAACACUUCAUUGCGCUGUCUCUCGGCCACAAAAGUUGGCGCUCUAGAUGGGAAAAAAUACGAAUACAGACUAAAAGCACGCAACCCAGAUGGCAACUACUUUAACUACACCGUCGAGAUGAUCGCUAAGAAAACUGGUGGUCACAGAACACGAAAUGCAGUACUAUACCAGGAAGACCCAGAGGAGAAAGAGAUGACUCACAAAAUUGUGACGAUGAAUAACAAACGCACAUGUUUUGUAUUGGUGCGAGACAUCGGGAAAAAAAGGAAGAAUA